GGGGUGGGAGUGGAGAGACAGAGGGAAAGAGAGAUAGAGAGAGACAGAGAGAGAGUGAGAGAGAGAGAUGGGGAGAGAGAGAGAAAGAGAGAAAGGACAGAUUCCAGUGUCUUUGUGUCAAAGAUUAGGAGUGAUUAGGAGUGAGCUGGAAUGAGAGAGCUCUCUGUUUGCACUGUGAUCGUACAUUAUCUCUGCUACAACAACACAUCACAUUCCUCACUAGCACACACACCGGUACACACACCGGUACACACACACACACAGAUACAGACAGCGCUGCAGCCUUGAUGAGAACAAAAGUCAAACCAAAAAAAGAAAUGAACUAAACCAUUUAUUCCAAUUACACACACUUUUACAGACGAAUACUGCCAGUAAAUGCCAUUAAACUCCAGCCGCAAAAUCACUGUGUCUCGAUAUCACACCAUGACACACUGACACAUUCGAACACGUACAGGACGUUUGUCAUUAAUAGCCGCGCUGAAGUCGUUCACGAGUUCCAGGAAAUUCAAGGUGUAGUGAUUGUGGCUGGGAGGGUCCCCGCGCGGCUCAAAGUUCACACUUAGGCAGGACACUCAUCUGUAAACGGUCCAAUAAUAGUGCAGAGGGGAUUUUCAUUUUAGAGUCUCACGAGUGAUCAGCAGUGAAAAAAAAAAAAAAAAAAAACGUGACAUGAGCAAUACAG
ensembl:lncRNA